AUGGGUGGCAAGUCUAGCAAAUAUGACAACAAUCUGGUGCACGACAAUAAAAUGGGUGAUGAGUCUAGCAAAUAUGACAACAAUCUGGUGCAGGACAAUAAAAUGAGUGGCGAGUCUAGCAAAUAUGACAACAAUCUGGUGCAGGACAAUAAAACGGAUGGCGAGUCUAGCAAAUAUGACAACGAUCCGGACAGGAUGUUAUGCGACCAAACAUCACCACCAGCAAAGUUACCAUUUCAGUAUCUGAAAACGAUCACAAACAACUUCUCUGAUACAUAUGCUAUCGGGAGGGGUGGUUCGGGUGUGGUAUACAAGGGAAGGAUGAGUAAUGGAGAAUUCGUUGCUGUGAAGAAACUUCAACUGUCAUUGCCGAGCUUUCAGAAGCAGUUUGAGAAUGAGGUGUGUCAUCUGAUGUACCUUAAUCACCCGAAUAUAGUGCGACUUCGAGGGUACUGCUACGAAACACAGAAUGUAUUUGUAGAGCACAAUGGGAAUUUCGUCUGUGCGGAGAUGUCAGAAAGGCUGCUUUGCUUGCAAUAUUAUCCUAAGGGAAGCCUUGCUGGUUAUAUUUCAGAUGAAUCUUCUGGACUUGAGUGGGACACCCGGUAUAACAUAAUUGUCGGUAUUAUCUAUGGUUUAAAGUACCUUCAUGAGGAAAAAGUUAAGCCCGUGCUCCAUAUGGACCUAAAGCCGGCCAACAUAUUGCUGGAUGAUGCUAUGAAGCCAAAGAUUACAGACUUCGGUCUUUCAAGACUACUCGAUCAACAGCAAACUUUAAGCACUUCAAGUCGUGAUGGAACACUGGGUUACAUGGCACCAGAAUACCUACAUGCAGGUACGGUCACAGCUAAAUCAGACAUAUUCAGUUUGGGUGUAAUAAUUUUGGAGGUAAUAACAGGACACAAGGACUACCCAGAUGUUACAAGAACAUCCUCCGAGAGAUUUGUGGAGCUUACCCUUGAUAAAUGGAGGUCGAGAAAUCCAUUGAACAAAUCACCAGGCUAUAUACCGAAAAUAAGAAGAUGCAUUGAGAUAGGUCUAGCAUGUGUGAAUCUUGAGCGGAAGGGAAGGCCAUCAACAGGCGAGCUUAUCAAGUUGCUACAAGGAAGAAUGACGCUAGACGAGGUAUAG
rnacentral:rRNA from 1 species